GAUCUCACAAAUCUAAAGGAACUGGUUAUAGGAAAAUGAUUUGUAGCUCGAAUGUGUUGGGCUCGACUAGCUUGAAAGUACUAAUUUUCUCUCUUCUCUCUAUCUCUUUCUUUUGCUUUGCUCUCCUCUUUGCCUCUGUUCACUAUAUUCUUGAAACCAAAAAAGGGACUCAUCUCUCUCUCUCUCUCUCUCUCUCUCUCUUUCAUCUGUCUCAUCUCUAGUCGUAGAAGGAGGAAUCACUCUUACCUCUCUCUCUACCCAUCCCUCUCAUUCGACAGACCUCUCUUAUCACCUUCCGAUUACUCUCUAGUCGUGGAAGAACGAACGACAACUGAGGACAAACAACGACGAACGACGGCCUGUGACAGUGAACGACGGACCAAAAGGAAUCUGAGAGUCAUAAAGAACAUUCUUCAAAUUCGCGAAUGAGGAUGAUGACGACAGUAUCUCCACAAUCCGUUCACAUGUUGGACCUCAGAAAGCUAUAAGAACAGAAGAACUAAACGAUAUAAAGACAAGGCUUUGUGAGAUAGACAAUGAGUAUGGUGCAAGGCUACAAAGGAUGGAGAAAAACUUCAAAAUUAGGAUUUAUGUCAUUGUUUUUUGAGUCUUUUUGCACUUUACCAUGUAAAUUUCAUGAAUCGAAUGUAACCAGAAACUUCAUUCAUAUUUUGUAUCUUUUUGUACUUAAUGAUGUAAAUUACUGAAUUGUUAGAUGCUUUAGGGAAUUUCAUGAAUGCGUUGUGUUGUGCUGUGUUGUGUAUUCGGAUGAGUUUGUAUGGUUUGUGAUAUUCCAACUCCAACCAGGAUGCAGUCUUAGUCCACAAUGGAUGCUGUGUUAGUCCACAAUGCAAGUUGAGAAUACUCUUUUUAUGUCAUAUAUGUUAAUCA